GCGGCGAGAAAAAAAAAAGAGCGAUAGAAUUACACCAUUACACCAUUACCAUUACACCUACCAUUACAUCAUUACACCAUUACCAUUACACUAUUACACCAUUACUAUUACAUCAUUACACCAUUACCAUUACAUCAUUACCAUUACAUCAUUACACCAUUACACCAUUUACGCCACUACAUCAUUACACCAUUUGCCGAUGGAGAAGAACACGCGUGGGUCUUUUUCAUUUUCUUCUUCUUUUUCAUUUUCUUCUUCUUCCUCCUGCGGAGGACCUCGAC
rnacentral:lncRNA from 1 species